rnacentral:lncRNA from 1 species
UCAUCACCACCGUCCACCUUAUCAUUAACGACAACAAUAACAUCAUCCUCGAUUCAAUCAGCAACGGCACCAUCAUCUCCUUCAACACUGGAUUCUCCCACCAGACGUCUGAAAAUGACAAGCUCUGAAUAGCGCAGCAUAUUUUACUAGAAAAAAGAAAAUUAAACUUUUAGAAGAUUAGACCAACCCAAACCAAACCCCUCUCUACAAUUCUCCUGUUGAUAUUUUGACCCUUUUUUGUUGCGCUUUGCAAAUAAAUCAAAGCCCCUCAAUUAUUGCUUGAAAAUGUUAAAAUUUC